GGGGCUCACAAGGGUACGGUGUGCAGCAAAGAGGGUGGAAACGGGGGCCGAACCAGGACCACGGGCCAGGGCUGGUGGGCUGGACCAUGAGGAGAGUGCUUAAGAGCCCAUGGCAGCCCCUGUGGGAUCACCCCUCCACGGCGUGCCGGCCUCCUGCAGGGUCUCCAAGCGGUGGCCGUCCUUCAGUGGAUCUUCUUUUGGGGCUCGGUGAGUGAGUCCCAGCAUCCGGCACCCACUUUCCCCUUUCCAGGAGGGAGGCAGGGCAGGGAUCUCUGGGGGCCCUUGAAGGCGUAGAAGGAAUGAGCCGGGACAGAAGGGCCUGAAACCAUGCAACAGGCAAGAGGGGGUCCUGAGUGUCACCCCCGCCGCUCCAUUCUACAGCCCAGGUGUGCCUGGCCGCGCUCAUCCCCGCGAUCCUAGGCAGAGCCUGGAUCCUAGCCCUCCUCUACCUGGUCUGGCUCUCUGGAGACAGGGACUGGCCACACGCAGGAGGCCACUGCUCUGCCUGGGUGGGCAACUGGGCCAUCUGGAGACAUUUCCAAGAUGGCUUUCCUGUCUUGGUGAGGGGCACCCAGGAACAGUGUGCCGCGUGGGGGCAAGGCUUUGGAACCGACUCUUCUCUGGUCACCCCUGAAAGUCUGAUCUCACUGCCAGGAUGGGGGUAUGUUCCCUGCAGAAGCCAGCAACUUCUGCACAGACACCUCGGGCUUCUUGGGCCUCUUUCCAGGCCUCUGGCCGCACCUGCUCAGGCUGUCAGGUUGGUUCCACCUCCCUCGCUUCCGGGACUACACCAUGUGUAGUGGUGAGGAGGGGGCAGGUCAGCCUCAGCACCCCCCAGUCCUAGCUGGCGACUCCUACUUCAACCUCCUGCCCUGGGGCACUGGGCGGGGGGGGGCCUCCGGGUCCCAGCUCUACCUGCCUGGUGUCCUCCUACCCCUUUUCUCAAGGACCCAGGCAUCAGGCCCCCUGCCUCUGCCCUCACCCCAGGUUUGCUGUCCUCUGACAAGGCCAGCGCCGCCUAUCUGCUGUCCCGGCCUGAGGGCGGCCAGGUGGCAGUCCUGGCCGCGGGAGGGCUCCUGGAAGCGCUGGACCCAAAAGCGAGUGCGCUAACCUUGCGGAUCCGGAAUCAGAAGGGGUUUGUCAAGUUGGCACUGAGGAAGCGGCCAGUGGCCGGGCGGGACACCCGCGGGCUGCCCUGUCCGGGAGGAGUGCAGAGGGCCGG
rnacentral:lncRNA from 1 species